GAUGAACGCUGGCGGCGUGCCUAAUACAUGCAAGUCGAGCGAACAGACGAGGAGCUUGCUCCUCUGACGUUAGCGGCGGACGGGUGAGUAACACGUGGAUAACCUACCUAUAAGACUGGGAUAACUUCGGGAAACCGGAGCUAAUACCGGAUAAUAUAUUGAACCGCAUGGUUCAAUAGUGAAAGACGGUUUUGCUGUCACUUAUAGAUGGAUCCGCGCCGCAUUAGCUAGUUGGUAAGGUAACGGCUUACCAAGGCAACGAUGCGUAGCCGACCUGAGAGGGUGAUCGGCCACACUGGAACUGAGACACGGUCCAGACUCCUACGGGAGGCAGCAGCAGGGAAUCUUCCGCAAUGGGCGAAAGCUUGACGGAGCAACGCCGCGUGAGUGAUGAAGGUCUUCGGAUCGUAAAACUCUGUUAUUAGGGAAGAACAAAUGUGUAAGUAACUAUGCACGUCUUGACGGUACCUAAUCAGAAAGCCACGGCUAACUACGUG
rnacentral:rRNA from 1 species